rnacentral:rRNA from 1 species
CGCCUUUUGACUUAUCAACAUAAAAGGUCCUGCCUGCCCAGUGACACCUGUUCAACGGCCGCGGUAUUAUGACCGUGCAAAGGUAGCGUAAUCACUUGUCCUUUAAAUAAAGACCGGUAUGAACGGCAAGACGAGAGCCUAACUGUCUCUCCAUAUUAGUCAAUGAAAUUGAUUUUUCCGUGCAAAAGCGGAAAUAUUGUUAUAAGACGAGAAGACCCUGUGGAGCUUUAAGUCAAAACUAACUAUUUAAUAUAGCAUAACCAAAGACUUUAGGUUGGGGCGACCACGAGGUAUAAUAAAACCCUCAAGAUAAAACCAUAGAGGGACACUUCAAAUAAACAAGAUAUUGAUAUAUUGACCCAAAAAUUGAUCAACGAACCAAGUUACCCCAGGGAUAACAGCGCAAUCCACUCAAAGAGUCCUUAUCGACGAGCGGGUUUACGACCUCGAUGUUGGAUCAGGACCCCCAAAUAAUGUAACAAUUAUUAAAGGUUCGUUUGUUCAACGAUUAAAGUCCU